ACUCCAUUAGCUCAGCUGGCUAGAGCACCUGACUCUUAAUCAGGGGGUCCAGGGUUCGAACCCCUGAUGGAGUACCA
rnacentral:tRNA from 1 species